AUGUGAUUCCACCACCACGUGAUUGCACUAGCGUGCGUCGCGUCCGUGCCGUGCGUGCAGCUCGGGGCGCCGGCCGGCGCCAUGGUGAUGGGGGGCGGGGCGCUAGGACCUAGCUUCGCUGGAGGCGGAUGGCAAAGCUCCGAUAAUGAGCGUCGAGCCGAACGGCCCCAGCCCCUGUGUACCCCAAGGGCUGGAUGGGCCUUGCCGGCCCGCGGUCGGGUUGGCUGCGCGACGCCGCCGCGAACGCCCCGGCCCCACCGCGGGAGACGGGGCAAGGCCAGGGCUGCCCUCAAGAUGGCUGCGGGGGGGGCCGGCUCAGCCCGGCGGCGGGGAACCGGAUUAGCGCGGGAGAAGCGGCCUGCUCCCCUCGCCGUAGCGAGAAGCGUGGCGGCGCCCGGCAACAGGCCCGGCGCAGGGGACGCAUUCGUCGCAAUGGCGCGAAGCAGCGGGAGCGAAGCCGCCGCGGUGGCGGAUAUCGCUGUGGCGUGCGCGGGGGUCAGGCGGGCGAGGCGGCCCGGUGGAAACGGGGCUGCGGGAGGAGCCGAGAAAAUCGAUCCGCUUCCCUUUCUUAGUCGUUCACCCGCCAGCAGCCGCGGGCCACGCGCGGCCAGCCCAACAAGCCUGUACCGGCUGUCGGCCUGCUGCUGGCUCCAUGGACUCCGCUUCAGCUGCUGUGUCCUGGGAUACUUUCCCCCUUUUUUACAUUUUGUUCCCGUUAGGAAUCAUUUAGAUUCUCGGCUCAAGAGAUCCCCGUGUGAGAGAUGGGUGUAUGGGGAGUCCCGUUAGUGCACGCUUGUCUGCUUUGUCCUCUAGCUUCACUGGGGGUGAAUGUUUUUAUUUCCAAAUUUGACAUUUUCUUGAGCCAGAGAUUGAGAAGAAAGUCAGCAGUUUAGAACAGUUUUAAACUAGGUCUGAUUUGGGGCAAGAACUACUCCCCUUGUACCUCAUGCAUAAAAAGAUCCUUUCCAGCAAGUGGUCAGUGACCAGCCUAGAUGACAUUUCAAGCCCGACUGCAUAACAUGCUGUCCCAAGCCCUGGAAAUAGAAGAUCCCUGAUGGCAGAAUGCUGACAUAGAGUUUUCAUUACUCAAUUUCUAAUGCAGCAGGGAUCUCUAGCCUGUGGCAUUUAGAAACUGUAUAUGCUAUAUCUUAUUAAAGUGGUGUGUGCAUAUGGUGACUGAACUGAAGAAGCUGAUUAAUCAGGGGAAUGAGGAAAUAUUACAAAUAGUGUAUUCCAGCUUCUCAAAACCUUAUUUGCAAAGUGAAGAUAAAUCAAAUGUAAACUUCAGCCAGGAUCUUAUGGGGAAACAAACCAAAAAAGACAUGAACUCCUAAGCAAGUUUUCAUCUAGGAUGUGUACAGGAACAGUUGGAUUACUGUCAUGCAAAAGAUCUGCUUCAAGAGGACUCUUCUGCUCACUCCUUGACUGGCUAAGAAGCAGGUGCUAUUUUUAAUCUUUUUUAUUGCCUUGGGGGCACGCUUGGGUAAGAGACUAAUAAGUGCACUCAGGACCCUCACAUGCAAUAUAAGAGCCAUGUUUUCAAAUCUAGUGAUAAAGUCAAGUCAUUCAUGAAAAAUCCUGCUAAUAUCAACAUCUGGGUGACUGAAGAUGAAGGUGGCUUUAAAUAUUUCUCCAGCAUGUCUGUCUAUCAUAAAAUCCAAAGCUUUUAUUGAUCUCAACAGCAGGUGAAGUGUCACAAUUUGGUAUGUUGACCUUUUUCAGGUUUGGCAAAAAUCCCUGUGUGGGAUUGAAUUGCUGUAGGAGCUGCUGCUAAAAGAUUACAUGUCACUAUCGCUGUUAGUAAAGUGUGUGUUUUAUUAAGAAAAACUUCAUGUCUAACUAGAAACGUGCAAAACAAAUGGUGUGAUCUGCUACUCAGAGUCCCAGGAGAAGCAUUUAUUUCCCACUGUCUUCCUACUCCUUCCCUAACUCUACUGCUCUUGCACAGUGGGAAGGGUUUUUUUUGUGCUCUUAGUUUUAUUAUAAUGUAUUAAAUGAUUUAGCCCCUUAUAUUGGGCUUUUUAGC